rnacentral:rRNA from 1 species
AGAUUGAACGCUGGCGGCAGGCCUAACACAUGCAAGUCGAGCGGCAGCACGGGUACUUGUACCUGGUGGCGAGCGGCGGACGGGUGAGUAAUGCCUAGGAAUCUGCCUGGUAGUGGGGGAUAACGCUCGGAAACGGACGCUAAUACCGCAUACGUCCUACGGGAGAAAGCAGGGGACCUUCGGGCCUUGCGCUAUCAGAUGAGCCUAGGUCGGAUUAGCUAGUUGGUGGGGUAAUGGCUCACCAAGGCGACGAUCCGUAACUGGUCUGAGAGGAUGAUCAGUCACACUGGAACUGAGACACGGUCCAGACUCCGUACGGGAGGCAGCAGUGGGGGAAUU